rnacentral:rRNA from 1 species
UUCUUUUAGAAAAAAAUAAAAGUAUAUUCUGCUCAAUGAUUUAUUAAAUAGCUGCAUAUAUUGUACUAAGGUAGCAUAAUCAAUAGUCUAUUAAUUGUAGACUUGUAUGAAAGAAUGAAUAAUUAGGAACUUUAUUUAUAAUAAUGGUUGAAUUUUGAAUUUUAGUAAAAAUACUGAAAUAUUUUAUAGGGACAAGAAGACCCUAUAAGAGCUUUAGAUAUAUUAUUAUGAUAUAAUAAUAACAUAUUUUUGAUUGGGGCAAUUUUUUAUAGUAUAAAAUAUAAGAAAAAUUAAAUAUUUGAAAGAUCCUUUAUUAAAGAUAAUGUGAAUAAGUUACUUUAGGGAUAACAGUAUAAUUUUUAUUUUAAAGCACAAAUUAUCAAUGAAGAUUAUAACCUCGAUGUUGAAUUAAUUUAAUAUAAUAGUGAAGAAGCUAUUAAUAUUUGACUGUUCGCCAAUUAAAUAAUUACA